ACCCUGCAACGUUGGUAAGUUCUUGUGAUCAGUUUUGUUCCAACACCUUUAAUAUUGGGAGCUGACUCUCUGCUCACGGCAUUGCAUCUUAAUUUUAUUUUGAUACAGAAAGUGAGUGGGAAGCGCCCACCUGCAUUAGCAGGUUCAAAACCUCACUCCUUACGGCGACGCGGGUCUU
rnacentral:other from 1 species